rnacentral:rRNA from 1 species
UACGUAGGGUGCGAGCGUUAAUCGGAAUUACUGGGCGUAAAGGGUGCGCAGGCGGUUAUAUAAGACAGAUGUGAAAUCCCCGGGCUCAACCUGGGAACUGCGUUUGUGACUGUAUGACUAGAGUACGGUAGAGAGGGGUGGAAUUCCUGGUGUAGCAGUGAAAUGCGUAGAUAUCAGGAGGAACAUCGAUGGCGAAGGCAGCCCCUUGGACCUGUACUGACGCUCAUGCACGAAAGCGUGGGGAGCGAACAGG